AUCUCCACUAGAUGGCACCAAAUUUCUUUAGUAGGUAAAAAUCCCCGUCAAGCAGCUGCUGAUAAUUUCCAUAAACACUUGAGGGACAACAGCAUGACUACAGAUGCUUUAGAAAACACUGUCAGGUUUCUUCGCUUUUGACUUGGUCCAGGCGGUGUGGUGAAGACAAUCCAUCUCCUGACCGUUUUGUCCAGCUGGGAGGGCCAGAUGGUCGUCUCACAACAGCAAAAACUUUAAGUCCUGGAAUGGUAGAAAAACAACCGAGUGGUGAUCCAAACAGUCCAACCCCGAUCCUGGAAACCCGUAAAAG